rnacentral:misc_RNA from 1 species
GCCAGGUGUACCAUCUUCCGUCCUUUCCCAGAUUCUACUACUCAACAGCAGUCUGACAAACAUCGAUUCCCGAGAAAAUCAAAUUCCACAAUCUGAUUCCCCCGACACUCUGGAAAAAUUAAUGGAAUCCAAGAAAUUGGCUGCUCUUCUUUCUUCUCUCAUCUCUCAACUUCUUCUCCUCCUUUUACUCAUUUUCCCUUCCUCCAAUUCCUUUGAUUCCAAUACCAAUUCCUAUGCUAACCUUUUACCUCUUCUCCACCAUUUCCUCUCCUCCCAAGAAAUUUCUGCUUUCCUUUCUCUCUUCACUUUUUCCAGGAAAAGGAAGAGAACCUAUCUCUCAGAACUGGACUCUGAGUCCACCCACGAAGACGGAGACCAUGAACACGGACCUCGACUCAGUGAGUGGGACCGAGUUACUCGGAACCCUGACUCGUAUAAAACCUUUUUCAGAAUGAGCUCUUCAACCUUUGAAUGGCUCUCUGGCUUGCUUGAACCGUUGCUAGAAUGCCGUGACCCGAUUGGAUCACCGCUUAAUCUUUCUGCUGAACUCCGGCUAGGUAUCGGUCUGUUUAGAUUGGCUACCGGGUCAAAUUAUUCUGACAUCGCUGGCCGAUUUGGCGUCACUGAGUCAGUGACUCGGUUUUGUGCUAAGCAAUUGUGCCGGGUCUUAUGCACCAAUUUUCGCUUCUGGGUUGCAUUUCCUUCCCCUGCUGAGCUUCAAUUGGUGUCAAAAGAUUUUGAAACUCUUACAGGAUUACCAAAUUGUUGUGGUGUGAUAGGAUGUGCUAGAUUCAAGCUUGAUGGGAAGAAUGAUUGCAAAUUAGCUUCAGACGGCAAGGAUCAAGAUGAUAGAAUUGCUGUUCAAAUUGUUGUGGAUUCAUCUUCAAGAAUUUUAAGUGUAAUCGCUGGAUUUCGUGGAGAUAAGGGUAAUUGUAAGAUACUUAAAUCGACAACUUUGUACAAGGAUAUUGAAGAAGGGAGGCUAUUGAAUUCGAGCCCAGUUAUUGUCAAUGGUGUGGCCAUAAAUCAGUACCUAAUUGGAGGAAAAGGGUAUCCUUUACUUCCUUGGUUAAUGGUUCCAUUUGUUGAUGCUUUGCCUGGAUCAUAUGAAGAGGUAUUUAAUACAGCAAAUAAUUUAAUGCGAGUUUCUGCAUUUAGAACUGUCGCUAGCUUGAAAAAUUGGGGUGUUUUGUGUAAACCAAUCGAAGAGGAGCUUAAGACUGCUGUUGCUUUUAUUGGCGCAUGCUCGAUCCUUCAUAAUGCUUUACUAAUGAGGGAGGAUGAUUCUGCACUGCUUGAUGUGGGAGAUUAUUCUUUAUAUGAUCAAGGUCCUCAGUGCUGUGAUGCUGAUUUGGAGGAGACUUUGAUUGAAAGAAAGGCUUCUGAUAUAAGAAUUGCGUUGGCUACAAGAGUUAAAGAAUUUCAGAAAUCCUGAGGAUCUCUGUUUACAAUUGCUCUUGCAAUAAUACAAAGAGAUUGCAUUGCCUGCUUAUUGUGGAAUUUGGAAGGAGGCUCAAUUCAACUUUUUUUGACAUAGGUAUUUGAGGAUUUUAUUCAUGAGAAUAAUAGAAUUCAAUGGGAUUUUUUUUUUCCUGAAACUAACCUUUUGAUUGUGGGAUUUAUUUUUUCUCUUUGUUUAACAAUUGUUCUUAGAUGUGUAGAUUUCAUCAGCUUUUGCAAUUGACAAAGUGAAACAUACGGGAUUGUUUUUCACACUUGAAAAUUGUGGAUGUUAUUUGCUGCAAAAUAUUUUUUUAUUGCUAAUUAGAUGGCUUUACUCUUGGAUUAUUCUAUGCGAACUCUUGGGUUGAGGAACUCUCAAGUGAUGAUAUUUUAUAACCUUCUUCUUUUUAUCCUUCAUUUAUUCCUGGGGCCUGUGCUUGAAUAGAAUUAUAUCAGUCUUAACUUUCUGAUCAUUAAAUGCAGUUGGUGAAGAUUUUUUCAUGUAGAUGUUUCUGUCGCAAAAAUUGAACGAUAAUGAUGGCCUAGGAUUUUAUGUUGCGGAAGUGGGAUCUAGAUGGAGAGGAACAAGCAUAGUCAUCAAGUACUUGCAGUUGCAGUCUGAUUUUGUUUGAUGGUUUUGUUGUUUACUUUAUCAUGUUUAAUAAACAAAUGAAGUUUUAUUUAGGAAAUUCUGAAUCAAGUUUAUAUAGUCGAGGCAAAAUAAACAUUUUUAUACCUGCCAGAGACUCACAACCGAACAACUAACAAAGAAGUGAGCCGCAGCUAGCAUUGACACAUGUACAUAGUUUUCUUAGUCGCAUAACCACAAGCAUGCAUGUAGGAUUCAACAAGCCUCCUUUUCCGGCUUCAAAGGAGUUCUCAGCUUUAUGUUUCUGUACUUCUUGAAGGGAAAUGCAAAUUCAAUAAUAUAAUUCCUUAUGCCUCAUAAAAGUUACUGCAAGCUUUCAGGUACCAGAUUAGUCCCAAUAUUGUAGAUGAUAGCCAUCUUGAUUGAGCACCUAAGCAGCAAACUUGCUCACAGUCUUGAUAUUAUAGAUGGUAGGCGCAAAGCAAGAUUGUCAUAUUCCCCUGACAUCUUCCUGUCAUCAUUAAAUUUCCUUUUUCUGAUUAUUUUUUUUUCCUGUUUAGCCUCUGAUUUCAACUAAUCCUAGGUGAACUGACACUUAAAGAAAGAACAGUAAUAUUCUCAUACAAUUUCAAUUUCUUAUAAUUGAUCUAUUAUAGAGCAGGUCUUGUGUUUUAAGGCUAUAUUUGCCAACCAUGUCAAGAAGAAAAAGGAACUCUUUAUAUGCUUAUAUAAAAUCUCUUAUUUAUCCCUUGAUCACUGGCUGUUAACCAACUAUGAUUAACUUGGUAUAUUCAAAUCUAUGCACUUUUGCCACAUCAUGUGCAGUGCUGGAAACCGCAAGAAAGAAUGGCUUUCAAUUGUCACUAUGCCAUCUGGGGUUCACAGCCUUUGUUAUAACUAUGUUUGCAAUUCUUAAUGUUUAGGCAGCAAAGCAUGCGUCUAUCUUCUUCGACUCUUUAAUAAUUAUCUUUACAAACAUUGAGAUACCAUUCAGCUCAAAUUAUACUUUUGGUAUGUGAUCAUUGACUGAGCAGAUGAUGCUUACAAGUCAUUUAAGUAAUUUGUUGGGGAUGAAAGUUUGCUCUGCCAUCUAUAAUUCAUAGCUGUGCAUUGUUUGAUUUACAAUUUUUUAUGAUCAGAUCAGUUAGCAACAUGCAGGAGGAUAAUUGCGCUUGCUACAUCUAUCUUUUGAUCUUCUUUUGCAUCAGUUCUUCCACUUCUGUCAUGCAUUAUUUUUUUUUGGCACAAAUUAUGUGUGUUUACCAAUAAUUUGUCAUGAAUUGAGUUGAUCAUCAUGAAGGUAAGCGUGAAAAUAUUUCUUGCCAUGAAAUUGUAAGGUACUCUCUCUCUAUCUGAAGCCGAUAUGAAAUUGAUGAAAAGAAAUUUCCUUUGUCAAAUGUUCUACCUAGAUACAAACUAAAUUUCAACUUGUUAUUCUCAAAGCUUGAUGUUGAACCAACUAUGAGAUGAUAUAGCUAUCAGGAAUUGAACCAAUUAAAAGGAAGUCUCACAAGGCAAGGAUCAAUGCAACAGAAGUCAUGUCAGGCCAUCAUUUGACUGCAAUUCAAGGUUUGAACUUGGAAGAUUAUGUCCAUAUUUUUUUUUUAUCUUUCUUCAAAGAGACAUGUCAAUUUUUUUCCCAUUUCUGUAUUAUGAUGCUGACAGAAUUAUGAUCUUCUAGAUCAGCUAAUCAUAUUCUUACUAAUGAUACUUCCAAAAGAAUCCAUGUUUCGGAAUUAUGUUCAUGUGACAUUAAUAUCUACUUCUUAGAUAAUUUAGGUAGAAUUAGAGGCUUCCAUACUCAUAAAUGCAAUAGGAAAGAACUAUUAAACAAUUUUGGUUUCUUUGAAGUGGGCGAUAGGAUUAUCAGUGGUUAUUAAACAUUAUAAUAUUGCCCUUUAUUAUUGCAAUUUCACAUUUUUGAAGUAGAGAGACAUUUUAAGGAAAGUUGUUUUCAGGAAGAUUUUCUCAUUUAUUACACUUGUUUUUUUGUUUUUAUUAUUAUUAUUAGAUGAUAUCCAACCUCAUCACCAUAUGAGUAUUUAUAAUAUGGUUGCAGAACACACAGCAAUUUAGCCACUCUAUGGAAGUUAAAAGAAUGAAAUAUACCUAUUUUCUAAUAGCUGUAAGAAUUCAUAUUGGGCUAAUCAAUGAUUUGUAUGCCAAUAGCAGAUUGUUUAUUUGGUGAAUUUUCACUGAAUGCUGCAUAUUUAUGGUUCAAACUACAAUGCAGAAGCAUUUCCCUAGGGAGCCGCUAUGAAUAGUUUGCCUACGCUUUCAGACGUGUAUAAGGAACAGCAGCCUCACCCCUUCAUCAGCUGUGCGACAAUGGAGAAGGAACUACUGAGCAUAUCUUCCUUUUCUUCCCUCAUGCCCAAACGACCUUUCAAGUUAUGACUCAAAUCCCUCAAAUUUCUCUUCUUUCAGCAUUUGGUGGGUGAUGAAAUACUAAAUGAGUUCAACAUAACAUUACAACAUUCAAGACUGCUUAGAUUUGUAAUCCAGUUUUGUCAAUAUCGGGUAAGGUAAGCAGUGGCUCUGGGGCUGUCACAAAAUGAGUGAAUCUAAUCGACCUGAAACAUGAACAUUUUUCUUAACAUUCUGAACGCAGAAGCCAAUUUCCUUAGCAAAAUCCAUGAAUAUCAGCUCAUACUCAGACAGAUGCAGCCUAUGCCUUAGCAGCUUAGCUUAAUGACAACAAUAAGCUAGGUUCCUUGGGAAGUAGAUACAAGCAUUCAAAACAUAAAAUAAAAGCUAAUACUAAGAGCAGAUUGAAGCUUCAGGACAUAUUUGGCAUUGGCAUUACACAUAGCUAUGAAAAUGUCCAUAAUAAGAAUUUCUGUUAGAGAAUGAAUAGUUAUUUGCAGGAAUUUAUUAGUGCAAUUUAAUAGAUGUUUGAAAAAUUUUCAAAUAACCAGCUUUUGGC